AAUUCUAGAACACUCUGAAAAUUACAGACCUGUCUAUUUGGGAAAUCCUCAGCAUAUUGACCUCAAGCACUAUAAUUAGUGCUAGCAUUGAAAUUAUUAAGGCUAAUCAAAUUCUUUAAGAACUUCUUGGCAUCAACAAAACAUGUGCCUGGCUUUUUGGCUGAUGCAUGCUCGUAGAGCUCUACAAAGGCCACGGAUGGAGGUGCUGCAGCUGGAGGUGCGACGGGUUGCAGCAGCAGUUCCUGCCAGUUCACACUGUCUCCUCUUACCCACAACUGACUCUUCAACAUGCAACCAAAUCAUAGGCCCUGCUUUUGGAAGGGACUGUACCCACAGCGUUUACAGAAGUAUGGAAACAGAAGAGAGAGAAAAAUAAAUAAAUACAUAAUAAUAAGAAGAUGAAAAAAUAAGGAUAAAUAUAAAUGAAUAUAUACUAUUGAUGUUUAAUAUUAAUUUUAAAAGUUUAACUUAAAAUUUACGAUACUAUAUAUCUACACCUAUCGUAAAUGAGCAAUCAGAAGGUGACGGCAACAAGGAAAAACUCCAUGAGAUGAUAAGAAACCUUGAGAGGAA